rnacentral:lncRNA from 1 species
CUUGCUUGAUCUUUCUGACCUCAGUUUGCUGAUCUGCAAAAUGAGACUAGUAAGAGCACCUGCAUCUCGGCUUGUUGUGAAGAUCAAACGCAACGGCGUGACUUGCAUAAAGCACCGGCUCCCGGGGCGGCCCAUGCUCCUUGCUCGGUGACCUGGCAGAGCAUAGCCAAGGUGAUCUGUGGCUCAUCAGGGACGUGCCCCGCAGGCAGCCGUGAGCCUGGAGCCCAGAAGGAAGGUGUAAGUCAGCAACAGAAGAAGACUGCCAGCAAGAGCCUCAUUCUCCUGUCUGUGCGCGGGGACCGACACCUCCCUCCCAGGAGAGGGUGUGGUGGGUUGUGCGAGCCAGCAUCCAGGGAAGCACUGGCUAAGACUGAGCAUCACUGUGUGUCAUUUAAUAGGGAAUGCAAAUGGCUGGAGACUGGACAAACCUUUGACACGUGCCGACUUGGGCCAGGCCUUUCGGACAGUAACAGGACACUGAGAUCUGCUGUCCUCUCACUGUCCUUCAGUCGUCAAGGAGAUUCCUAAGCAAGACUCCUCUGUGGGUUGGGCCCCACCCAUCAGUGCAGCAUCGUUUCCCUCCCUAGCUGGGCAGACGAGCCCAGGGUGCCUGCCUGCUGGCUGCGGAGGGCCAAGAAUCUGGGGGUUGCUGGAGGGGCUCCUGGUUCUCUCUGGAACAGCUUGCCUGCCCCCUAGUGGACUUCUGAAGAGUCUCGGGGACUCAUGGAAACCCCUUGGACAGGGAGCUUGGAGAUUCCGUGUCCCGACUGGAGCCCUGAGCAGGAGUGGCUUGUGCACGCAAGUCUGGGGCAGAGUGGUGACAAAAGGCAGCAUAGGCGGCCCUCGGGAAAGAACCUGGGCUUCUGCAUCCCACAGCCCCAGGUGAACCCAGCAGCAAUGGGGAUGAUGAAACCCACUUCCUAGGGCUGCAAGGACGGUUCCCUGAGACAAUGCAUGCACAACAUGCUCAGUACAUGUGUGUCCCUUCCCCCUACUCUACGUCGCUUCACCUCCUCUGUGAGUCCAGACAGCUCUAACAGUCUUUGAGCUGACCUGGAUCUUCAUGCGCUUGGAUUUCCUUGAAGCGAGGUUCACCUGCCACCACAGUGGCCUCCUCCCCCUCCCCUGCCCUGUUACAUUGCUUCUCCCACCAGGGUCGCAGAAAGAGGGCAGACCCAGUCCUGCCCUCAGGAUGCCCCCAG